AAAUUGAAGAGUUUGAUCAUGGCUCAGAUUGAACGCUGGCGGCAGGCCUAACACAUGCAAGUCGAACGGUAACAGRAAGCAGCUUGCUGCUUUGCUGACGAGUGGCGGACGGGUGAGUAAUGUCUGGGAAACUGCCUGAUGGAGGGGGAUAACUACUGGAAACGGUAGCUAAUACCGCAUAACGUCGCAAGACCAAAGAGGGGGACCUUCGGGCCU
rnacentral:rRNA from 1 species